rnacentral:rRNA from 1 species
UACGGAGGUGGCGAGCGUUACUCGGAUUCAUUGGGUGUAAAGGGCAGGUAGGCGGCUAUGUAAGUCGGGGGUGAAAUCCUGGAGCUUAACUCCAGAACUGCGUUCGAAACUGCAUAGCUUGAGGCCAGAAGAGGAGAACGGAAUUCCCGGUGUAAGGGUGAAAUCUGUAGAUAUCGGGAGGAACACCAGUAGCGAAAGCGGUUCUCUGGGCUGGCUCUGACGCUGAGCUGCGAAAGCUAGGGGAGCAAACAGG